rfam:TPA: Bos taurus chromosome 19, whole genome shotgun sequence.
UCCCUGGUGGUCCAGUGGCUAGGACUGUGUGCUCCCAACACAGAGGGCCUGGGUUCAAUCCCUGCUUGGGGA